GGGAGCGAGCGAGCCUCGCGUCUGUCUGUCAGACCCAGAGUAGGGUCGGCUGCACCAGCAGCCCCCAGGAGGAGCUGCGGGGAGGCAGGUGUGAGGAAAAGCAAGAGCCGCUGACCCGCAGAAAUUCCGAUCCUCAACUUUCAUGGGCACUUAUUUAUGGGGUCUCAGCUGCAGCAGGUCCCGCAGGACUCCUUGUAUCCAUACGCACGUGUAUGUCCAUGUUGUGUGAGACAGUGUGUAUUCUUAGUAGGAUCCUAGAAUUGAGAGCGAGCGAAAGGCAAUGUAGGGCCACCAGCAGCAGCAGACGACGACAAAAAUCAAGGUUACCCACAUCAACCAGACUGUACUAGAGAAAAAGAUGUACUGUAGCAAAGUGUAUCCCACAAUUUGAGAGAAGGAGAUAGCCAUGAGGGUGAAAUCCCUCCAGCUGACUGUGAUGGAGCAGAAAAACCUUUGGCAGCUUAGAAGAGGCAAAGAAGCAAAGAGAGAAAAUAGAGCUAAGAUGUUGGAGUUAGUGGAAAUUGGGGAGGCAGCUCUGUGAGGGAGUGGGGGCUGUCCAAGCUGCUUUUUGGGAGACCUUUUGCCUUAUAAAUGUCUGUCACUUUCAUUUAUGCUCUGCUUGUUAUGUCUGCAAAUAAAGCAAUUACAAAACUGU